UGAACACUGGAGACCCCACCAAGGCCAUCCAGCCAUUCCCUAGAAGCAGCAACAACAUCAGGGGAGCCUCAGCUACAACCUAGUGCACUGGUCCAAGCCCCCAGCAAGAUCCUUAGUUCUCCGCAGUGUGAACCACGGGCACGGUGAUGACGGUGACGAGCGCAGCAAGCCCCAGCAGUCCCAGGAGCACCUUCCACGGCGUCUGCAAGCAGGGCAGAUCGUGUCCAGUUAGAACUUUCUGGACUGGCAUCUGGUUUCUGCUGCUUGAGCUGCUCUUCAUAAAGGAGAUAUGGCAUGGAAAAGAAUACUCCGUGGAAAAUUGGAUCUUCUUAAUGAUACCACACGGGAGUCUUUGCUAUGGGUGUAUGCAGAGAGCUUUAUUCUGGUGA
rnacentral:lncRNA from 1 species